rnacentral:rRNA from 1 species
UACGUAGGGGGCAAGCGUUGUCCGGAUUUAUUGGGCGUAAAGAGCGUGUAGGCGGCCAGGUAGGUCUGCUGUGAAAACUCGAGGCUUAACCUCGAGAUGUCGGCGGAAACCAUCUGGCUAGAGUCCGGAAGAGGAGAGUGGAAUUCCUGGUGUAGCGGUGAAAUGCGCAGAUAUCAGGAAGAACACCCGUGGCGAAGGCGGCUCUCUGGGACGGUACUGACGCUGAGGUGCGAAAGCGUGGGGAGCGAUCCGG